rnacentral:rRNA from 1 species
GCCCACAGUUGCCAGCGUACUCUCUGGAGUGACGGGUACACUGGUGGGACCGCCGCUGCUAAAGCGGAGGAAGGAAUGGGCAACGGUAGGUCAGUAUGCCCCGAAUAUCCCGGGCUACACGCGAGCUACAAUGGUUGGUACAAUGGGUAUCUACCCCGAAAGGGGACGGGAAUCUCCUAAAACCAAUCUUAGUUCGGAUUGAGGGCUGCAACUCGCCCUCAUGAAGCUGGAAUCCGUAGUAAUCGCGUUUCAACAGAACGCGGUGAAUACGUCCCUGCUCCUU